rnacentral:rRNA from 1 species
UGGGGAAUAUUGCACAAUGGGCGCAAGCCUGAUGCAGCCAUGCCGCGUGUAUGAAGAAGGCCUUCGGGUUGUAAAGUACUUUCAGUCGGGAGGAAGGUGGUAAAGUUAAUACCUUUGCUCAUUGACGUUACCCGCAGAAGAAGCACCUGCUAACUCCGUGCCAGCAGCCGCGGUAAUACGGAGGGUGCAAGCGUUAAUCGGAAUUACUGGGCGUAAAGCGCACGCAGGCGGUCUGUCAAGUCGGAUGUGAAAUCCCCGGGCUCAACCUGGGAACUGCAUUCGAAACUGGCAGGCUAGAGUCUUGUAGAGGGGGGUAGAAUUCCAGGUGUAGCGGUGAAAUGCGUAGAGAUCUGGAGGAAUACCGGUGGCGAAGGCGGCCCCCUGGACAAAGACUGACGCUCAGGUGCGAAAGCGUGGGGAGCAAACAGG